rnacentral:misc_RNA from 1 species
ACAUCGAGCGCGGCCACAAGAUCGACGAGAAUGUCGCGAGGGAGAUCAUUAAUCACCGGUCGCUGCGGCAUCCGAACAUUAUUCGGUUCAAAGAGGUUGUGCUGACGCCGACGCACCUCGCCAUUGUUAUGGAGUUUGCAGCCGGCGGGGAGCUGUUUGAGCGGAUCUGUAACGCCGGGAGGUUCAGCGAGGACGAGGCGAGGUAUUUCUUCCAGCAGCUCAUAUCCGGAGUUAGCUACUGCCAUCACUUGCAAAUUUGCCACCGUGAUCUGAAACUGGAGAACACGCUGCUUGAUGGGAGCCCGGCACCGCGUCUGAAGAUUUGCGAUUUUGGUUACUCGAAGUCCUCUCUGCUGCACUCGAGGCCUAAGUCGACGGUGGGGACACCGGCGUAUAUCGCACCUGAGGUGCUCUCCCGACGGGAGUAUGAUGGAAAGCUGGCCGACGUGUGGUCAUGUGGCGUAACUCUGUAUGUGAUGCUGGUCGGCGCCUACCCUUUUGAGGA